AUUUUUGGUUUGUGUUGCUUUCAUAAGUUAACUGCAUUUGUUUUUUUUAGAAUUAGGGUUUGUAUAUGGUGGACAAAGAGGUUAAUGUAAGUCUCCAGAGAAGUAAUUGGCAUGUGGAUGGGUCGAUUAAAGGCUUAGAUCAUGGUUGUUCUCAUUGUGGUUACUGCUUCUCCGAUUGUAGGUCAGUUGCUUGAAAAGCUAAAAAAGGAAUUAAGUCGUGAAGGUCAUUUCCUUCUUUGUUAAGAGGAGUACAUCAUUAAAUUGAAGGUAUGAGAUCUGGAUUUCAGAUUUUUCGCAGCUCUAUUAAUGGUGUGCAGACUAAAUUUUUAUUGUGAAGGGGGCAAAUUGUCAAGAAAUUUAUAACGAGGUAAGGUUCUGAACAUUCUUUUCCGGCGCUCACUACUUGUUAAAUAAAGUUGUUUUUUUAUUCAACGACAUAACGAACAAUUCAUCAUUAGAUGUUAAGAUUAUGCUCGUUAGCAGCUUCUUUGUUGAGGAAGGUUGAGUGGAUGUGGGAUGGGUUUGGUGGCUAGAUUCACUCAGCUCGACUAAGUCGUUUUGACCCAUUAUUAUAGAUCUGAAUUUGGUAAUAGACCAAAUGGGAUGGGUUUGGUGGCUAAAUUACAACUUCUUGUAGAAAUUUAUAGUUUGUUGACUUUGGCAAUCAGUCAAACUUACAUACCAGUUACAUACCUGAUCAAGCCUUCUUCAGCUCGAGUCUGUCAAGCAUAAACCCAAUUCUCAUAUCUGGUACAUAGAUGGCUGAGUAUAGCUAAAGGCUUGAACUGCAUGGGAAAUAAAAGAAGUUUAAAGACAAUGACGGGGACCAAAAGCAAAAGAUGCAAACAUUGCUCUAAAGAUUUGCCUGCAGACCCAGUUAAAAAUGGUACAUAAGCGUUGUCUACCAGCCAAGGAAGCGGCCAAGUGUAAGAGUGUCUGCAACUGCAAGGACUGGUGUGCAUUACUAUCGACUCACACAUUCGAAAGAGAACAUGCUCCCGCACGCUACUUCCAUGUAAUCAAAAAACAUUGUUAACCAGUCUAUUGAUUCGUAUACCAUUCUCAACAUGGGUGCAAGAUAUGCACUCUGAUGCAUCCACAUUACGAAAGUCAGCGUUAUAGCGUGAGGCUUCACGUAUAGUCAACGAAGAAGGAUUUCGCGCAUUCUGGAAGGGGAAUCUGGUCACGGUUGCUCACCGUCUGCCUUACUCGCCCUUUAGUUUCUGUGCAUUUGAACACUACAAGAAUGCUGUUUCUGCAACUGAUAAUGAGAGCCGAGAAUGGUGAGUCGAAUAUAAGCACUGGCUUGUUUAUACGACUAGCUGGUGGUGGAUUGGCUGGGAUAACUGUCGCUUCUGUUACAUACCCGUUGGAUCUUGUACGGACCCGCCUUUCA